GGGCCUGUAGUAAAGUGGCAUUACGCGUCAUUCGCAUUGACGAAGUGGCGGUUCGAUUCCGCCCAGGUCCACCA
rnacentral:tRNA from 1 species